rnacentral:rRNA from 1 species
GCCUCUUGACUUAAUCAUAAGAGGUCCAGCCUGCCCAGUGACAUUGUUCAACGGCCGCGGUAUUCUAACCGUGCAAAGGUAGCGUAAUCACUUGUCCUUUAAAUGAGGACUAGUAUGAACGGCCACACGAAAGCUAUACUGUCUCCUUUUUCCAAUCAGUUAAACUAAUCUUCCCGUGAAGAAGCGGGAAUAAUCAUAUAAGACGAGAAGACCCUAUGGAGCUUUAAGCAAUUGAAACACUUGUACCCACCUUCUUCAUUCCCACAUAACACUCAACUCCACAUUUUGUUUCUAGCUUUAGGUUGGGGUGACCACGGAGAAAAAACUAUCCUCCAUGCCGAAAGAGUUAAUCUCUAAACUAAAAACUACACCUUUAAGUAUUAACAUAUUAACCUAAAUUGACCCAAUAAUUUGAUCAACGAACCAAG